rnacentral:rRNA from 1 species
UACAGAGGGGGCAAGCGUUGUUCGGAAUUACUGGGCGUAAAGGGCGCGUAGGCGGCCUGCUAAGUCGGUCGUGAAAUCCCCGGGCUUAACCCGGGAACUGCGACCGAUACUGGUUGGCUUGAAUCCGGGAGAGGGAUGCGGAAUUCCAGGUGUAGCGGUGAAAUGCGUAGAUAUCUGGAGGAACACCGGUGGCGAAGGCGGCAUCCUGGACCGGCAUUGACGCUGAGGCGCGAAAGCUAGGGGAGCAAACGGG